ACAUCAUUUCUGAGCCCAUUGAGACUUGUAGUGAAAAACCAAGCAUCCCCUGAUAAAUAGGUAGUAGAAACAAACUACCUAUGAAAAUGCUUUUUGAUUUGUGGAUUUAUCUCACAGUGUUAAAUUUUUGAUUUGAUUCAACUGGUUGAAAACAUUCUUUAUGUAGAAUCUAUGAAGAGACGUUUUUGAGCUUAUCGAGAUGUAAGGUGAGAAACUGAAUAUCCCGCUAUGCAAAGUACAAACAAGCUCUCUGUGAAAAUGCUUUGUUAUAUGGGGAUUCUUCUCACUGAAUGGAUCUUGUGUUGUGAUUCACUGGGUUGGAAACACUUUUUUUUAGAAUCUAUGAAGGGACAUUUCCGAGGCCAUCGAGGCCUAUAGUGAACAACAGAAUAUUCUGUGAUAAAAACUAGAAACAACCUACCUGUGAAAACGAUUUGUGAUCUUUGGAUUCAUCUCACCACAUGGAACCUGUGUUUUGAUUCAGCUGGUUGGAAAAACUCUUUUUGUGGAAUCUACCAAAGGAUAUUUCUAAGCCCGUUGAGGCCUAUAUUAAAUUGAUUAUCUCAUGGUUGAAAGCAUUCUUUUUGUAGAAUCUAUGAAAAGACAUUUCUGAGCUUAUUCUGGUUUAUAGAGUAAAACCGAAUAUCCUGAAAUAAAAACUGGAAACUAGGUUGAAAACACAAUUUUUGAAGUAUCUAUGAUGGGACAUAUCGAAGCCCGUUGAGACUUAGUGAAAAACAGAAUAUCCCCUGACAAAAAUUAGAAACAAGCUUUCUGUGAAAAUGUUUUUUGAUGUCUGUAUUUAUCUCACUGAAUGAAAAAUGCAUUUUGAUUCAAGAUGCUGGAAACACUAUUUUUGUAGAAUCUAUGAAGGGAUAUUUCUGAACUCAUUGAAGUCUACAGUGACAAACCGACUAUCCAAUGAUAAAAACUAGAAAUACGCUGUGAAAAAGUUUUAUGAUGUGUGGAUUCUUCUCACUGAAUUAAACCUGCAUUGUAAAUCAUCAGGACUGAAACCUUCUAUUUGUAGAAUCUAUGAAGGAACAUUUAUGAGCCCAUCGAGGCCUGUAUUGAAAAACAAAGGAUCCUGUGGUAAAAACUAGAAACAACCUAAAUAUGGAAAUGCUUUGAGAAAUGUGAUUCAUCUCACAGAGAUGAAUCUUUGUAUUGAUUCAUCAGGUUGGAAACUCUCUUUUUGUGGAAAAUAAAAGGUCUAAAAAGAGACAUAUCUGAGCCCAUUGUGGCCUACAGUGAAAAACUGAAUUUCUUGAACAAACGCUGGAAACCAGCUAUGUGUGAAAAUGCUUUGUGAUGUGUGGGUUUAUCUCACAAAGUUAAACCAUUGUUUUGAUUCAACAUGUUGGAAACACUCUCUCUGUAGAAUCUAUGAAAAAACAUUUCUGAGCUCAUUGAGAAGUAUAGUGAAAAACCACAUAUCCUGAAAUAGAAACUAGAAACAAGAUACGUGUGGAAUGUUUGUGAUGUGUGGAUUCAUCUCACCAAAUGGAACCUGUAUUUUGAUUCACCCAGUUGGAAACACACUUUUUGUAGAAUCUACGAAGGGACAUUUCAGAGCCCAUUGAGGCCUAUUGUGAAAAAUCAAUUAUCCCAUGGUAAAAACUUGAAACAACCUAUCUGUGAAAAUACUUUGUGAUGUAUAGAUUCAUCUCACAAAGUUAAACCAUUGUUUUUAUUCAACACAUUGGAAACACUAUUUUUUAGAAUCUACAAAUAGAAAUUUCUUAGCUUUUUGAGACCUAUAGUAAGAAACUAAUAUCCCACAAUAAAAACUAGAGACAAGCUGUAUGUGAAAAUGUUUUGUGAUGUGUGCAUUCAUC
rnacentral:lncRNA from 1 species